UGUUGCCUACGGGGGGCAGCAGUGGGGGAUAUUGCACAAUGGGGGGAACCCUGAUGCAGCGACGCCGCGUGGGUGAAGGAGUGCUUCGGCAUGUAAAGCCCUAUCGGCAGGGAAGAAGCAAGACGGUACCUGACUAAGAAGCCCCGGCUAACUACGUGCCAGCAGCCGCGGGAAUACGUAGGGGGCAAGCGUUAUCCGGAUUUACUGGGUGUAAAGGGGGCGCAGACGGCAGCGCAAGCCAGGAGUGAAAGCCCGGGGCCCAACCCCGGGACUGCUCUUGGGACUGCGCGGAUG
rnacentral:rRNA from 1 species